GGGCGUAUAGCUCAGUUGGUAUAGUGCUAGUCUUGCAAGCUCAAGGCCCUGGGUUCAAUCCCCAGCACCAUUA
rnacentral:tRNA from 1 species